rnacentral:lncRNA from 1 species
UGCAAGAAACAUAAAGACACAUAAGAUAUAGCAGGGAAAAUUAGUCUUUAUUGCAUAUCAGAAAGUAAUACAAAAGAUUUCACAAUAAAAAGCACUAUCUAGAAAGAUUACAUAGAUUUUCUGAGGGAUGGAUGUCUGACGGGCCAUUGGGAUGCUUCUUGCUGAACCUUCAUCCUGAAACUCUGAGGACUUCCUUCCAAUGACUUGGAGCA